CAUCUCACUUCUCAUCUCCCAUGCCCUCUCCCCCAUGUCCACUCUUCCUCUUCAUGUCUGGCCUCGUCCCUGAAUCCAAACUGCACGCUCUGCCCCUGCAGAAGAGACCCAGUUUGAUUCUGCGGAUCAGCCUGCCUCCAAAAGACCGAGAGCCCCGCACUCCACCGCCCUUGGAUGAGCUACCAAAGGUUUCCCCUUCCGGGGAGCGUCCUGGCCCUCCUGGCCUGCCCAGCUCAUCCUCAGCUCUGAGCCUGCAGCCCCAGGAGACCUGCAACCGUCUUCUACUGCUGUCACAGGCCCUGGAAGUCUCUGAGCGGUCCUUGAUGUGUGAACCCUCAGAGUGGCAGCGGAAGCUGGAGGCAGCAGAGGCGCUGCUAGCUCUGGGACGCUCUUCCGGUGGCCUGUGCGGCUCUGAUGUCCUGAUUUAGCCAUGUGGCACACCAGAGCCUGCUGCAGAGGAAGGACUUCAACCUCUCAGCUGCUCUGUUCACCCCAAGCCAGCCAGCACUGUUUCUCCGCCUACUGUGCCUGUGGGAUGCGCCUCCCUCCCAAAUCCAGAAGCCUAGAGGAGGAAGCCUCACUGGAACACUGUCUCUUUGGUAUUUUAUUAAUGAAUAUACACCAAUAUGUUUAACGAUGUUAUGUUAAUCUCUUAGUUCCUUAAGCCUUCGGGUGCUUUUCUCAACUUCCAGAACCGUUUAUCACAUGGCGCCACUUCUUGGCUGAGAAUGUAUUUCUUGUGCCUUCACCUUGCACUCCUCUAGGUCCCGGGGCCAUUCAAAAAUAACGUUAUGUAAUAUGAGCGGGUCCGUCUCUCAUUCAGCCCCUGUGUGCAUUCAUAUGCCAGAAUACUUGACUUGCGAUAUAGCUGUGCAACCAUGCACAGGUGGCUGUUUGCACUGUUUCUCUCCCGCUCUGUGUGUGUGUGUGU